AUAGUUAAGAUGCUAUUUAAAAUUGUAAGACGAAAAGACCCUAUAGAGCUUAACUAUAUUUUCUUUAAAAAUUCAAAAAAAAGGGAAAAUGGUAGUUUAGUUGGGGCGACUAUCUUUUACACAAAACAAAGAUAAACAAUAUUAAUAAAUAAUUUAUUGUACAAUUCAUAAAUUUAACAAUUACAAAAGUAGGUUAUAAUGACCCGUUAAAGUUAAAUGACAAAAUUAACGAUCAAUAAAUAAAAGCUACCUUAGGGAUAACAGGAUAAUUUUGUUAUAGAGACCAAAUCGAAAACAAAGUUUGUCACCUCUAUGUUGAAUUAAGAUAUCCAGAUAGUGCAAAAGUUAUCAAAGGUAGGUCUGUUCGACCUUUAAAAU
rnacentral:rRNA from 1 species